GACGAACCGAGCGAACGUUGUUCGGAAUCACUGGGCUUAAAGGGCGCGUAGGCGGGCUGUCAAGUCUGGGGUGAAAUCCCGCGGCUCAACCGUGGAACUGCCUCAGAUACUGACGGCCUCGAGGGAGAUAGGGGCGAGCGGAACUAAUGGUGGAGCGGCGAAAUGCGUAGAUAUCGGGAGGAACACCAGUGGCGAAGGCGACUACCUGGCCUGUUCUUGACGCUGAGGCGCGAAAGCUAGGGGAGCAAACGGG
rnacentral:rRNA from 1 species